ensembl:lncRNA
CUUGCCUGAGAUCUUUCCUAGUAGCCAAGGGUUUGCAUUUUUUAAAGCCAGCGGCAAAGAAUAACAAAAGUGGAAAGACCUCCACGACACUGUCCUAACACAUCCUGUGUUCCAGCCUUAAACAUGACUGUUGUGGGAUAAUCUUUUUGUUCACUGUGAAGAUGUGUCUUUGCCAAGGUACCUUCUGAUUGGUUUAAUAAAAAGCUGAAUGGCCAAUAGCUAGGCAGGAAGAGGUUAGGCGGGACUUCCAGGAGAGGGAGGAACUCAGGGGGAUGAAUCUCGGCACACAAGAGACUCCAGCAAGACUUGGCACAAGUUGGACAUACAGAACAGGAGAAAGACUGCAGAUUAGAACUUGGCCACAGAGGCAACAGCCUUGAAAAUGUAAUCAUAAUUCCAGGCAACCAUUUGCCCAGCAACCGGAUCAAAACUGCUUGGAACCAGGUCUGCUCAGCCCUGAUGUCGAAGGACAGAGUAGAAACACAACCAUGACUGCAUGACAGGCCUAACUAGGGUUAGCACUCUCACCAUUUUCCAAACACACAUCCCCUCAGAAUGAAGGAAAGAAGAGUUCAGACAUCUGUCCACCCAGAACUGCCUCCUAUCUUCAUUCCUUCUGGCAGCUUCUUCCAUUGUUUUACCUUUUCUCUGUGGAAUCAUCUUUAGAACACACUAGUGUCAGACCGGAACUCCCUACUUGAAAGUGUUUGGAUGAAAAAACUGGUCAGAACAUGUUUGAGUCCCAAGAAGCAGAAAGCUCGGAUAGUUGGCCCCACCAUGAAGACACUUAUUGUACUUGAGAAGUCGCCUGGAGAAAAUGACUGCCAAUGAUUCCAUAGCCAGACUCCAAGUCCUUCCGGCUUCUGGGUCUGGCAUUCCUAGGCUGGACUCUGCCACUUACCAAGGUAGCUGGUCUCCGGAUGUCACAGGGCCUGUCAGGAGGUGGGGUACUUUGUCCCCAUGUAUCAGCCUAAGCCAAACUGCCACCAUCUUUGGGAGACCUGUCAGUCCUGCUCCCAACUUCUCUCAUAGAAGAAAGAAGUGUGGAGGACCAUGGGACCCUCACCUGAAUAUCCAGCCACAUCUCCCAAACAGUUGUACGUAGUUGUGCUCUGAUUGCAUGUGGCUGUGGGAGGGGCUAGAGGAUAUAGUUGGGGAAGGGGGAAGGAAGUGGAUUUAGUCUGCAGCCACCGGGAAGCCAUGUCCAUCAGGAAGCCAUCAUCCCUGUGGGUGCAGACCUUCCAGGCGGCGACUUUGAGGUUACCCACACUCCUGCCUGUAUCCUGUCUCCCAUUGCUCUAACCCUGCAACACAGCUACAGUUCUUUCUACAUAUCCAGAGGUGGUUCAUAUACAUGCUUGCAUUAGCUGAUGCAUUAUUUAAAGAGUGGAUUUGGAACUUCUCCCUACAGCCAGAAGACUGAUACACUGCAAGAGGCUUUCCCCAUUCAGCUGUAGACUGGAGAUGAGUUGUGGGGUGGUGGUCCCCUCACAAAUGUUUCUCUAUUUGCCAUAGCUCCCACCAAUGUCUUUUACCACCUCCUUCACUGUGUUUUACAGCUCACAAGAAUUUGACCUUGAGGCUUUCUGAUUUACCAUGGAAAAGAACAACAGUGAUGCUUUGCAUGUUUUCUUGAUCCCUUCCUUCCUUCCUUUGCUUCUUUUUUCUUUCUUCCCAUCUGCCUUUUCUUUGGAAGAGACCACCAGGCUGGUGUUAUCUGUUUAAAGGAUGCCGUUGGCUCUGUUUGUCUGAAGAAUGGGAACAAAUGAUGUGCCAAGGUCCCAGAAUGGCCUAGCUGAUCAUUCCAACUCUCCCCAAGCUGGCCCUGUUAGAAGUUCCUGGGGGUAAAGCACAGGUCUCCCGAUGUCUUGGAUCCAGAACCUUGGGAUUUUCACUAGGAAUGAGGGAAGAUCAUACCAACACCAGCAUUUCCCAGCUCCAGUCUCCCUACGGCUGAGUCUGCACACAGAGAACUUGCUCUGUGGGAUAAGCAUUCAGUGUGCACCGCUCAGAGCCGGUCCUGAACGCCCCUAACAGCUGAGAGACACAAUGUUCACUUUGUUCUUCCAAGGGUUCUUCACUGUUUCUAAAAUGCCAGCAGAUAACAGUUAAGUGUUGAUUAAAUAACUGAGGUCAGUGGCUAAGGAGAGCAGUCACCGCCCUGCUUCUCCAGCCCUUCAGAACAUUGGGGCUACACUGAAAGGCUGGCAUGGAGGGUGUGCUCUGUCUUCUCAGGACGUCCUUGCUGUUUGGAAACUAGAAUUUUCUCCAGCUCUUUAAUAUUCAAAGGACUAUAUC